rnacentral:rRNA from 1 species
CCAAUAGCGUAUAUUAAAGUUGUUGCAGUUAAAAAGCUCGUAGUUGAAUUUCGGGACCAAUAUGUUGGUCGUGCCUUUGGUACAUACUAGUUUAUUGGUUUCUUCCUUCUGGCGAACCACGAUGUCAUUAAUUUGGUGUCAUGGGGAAUCAGGACUGUUACUUUGAAAAAAUUAGAGUGUUUAAAGCAGGCUUCACGCUUGAAUACAUUAGCAUGGAAUAAUGAAAUAGGACGUUUGAUUCUAUUUUGUUGGUUUCUAGGAUCGACGUAAUGAUUAAUAGGGAUAGUUGGGGGCAUUAGUAUUCAAUUGUCAGAGGUGAAAUUCUUGGAUUUAUUGAAGACUAACUACUGCGAAAGCAUUUGCCAAGGAUGUUUUCAUUAAUCAAGAACGAAAGUUAGGGGAUCGAAGACGAUCAGAUACCGUCGUAGUCUUAACCAUAAACUAUGCCGACUAGGGAUCGGAUGAUGUUAAUUUUUUAAUGACUCAUUCGGCGCCUUACG